AAUUAAGUAGGUGUGCCACCGACCUGUUUAUUUCCCACAACACAGGCUGCUUGUUCCAAAGCAGAGACAUCAGACAUAGGAGUGUGGAACUCAGCCCUGGAGCAGCAAGUACAGCAAGUUCAGACAGGACCACAGUGCCUAUGUGGGAUAUUUCUGUAUACUUCCCAGCUCAGUGGAAGCAGGAGCACACAGGCGGCUCUGUGCCUCUGAGUCUCAACUGACGGGAUAUUGGAGGAUCUGGACUUCAGCAGAGCUGUUUCAUUGCCAUCCUGUACACUUGACAAGUCAUCAGGCCUUGGAAGCAAUUAAACUAGGUCUCAGAUGGAUCAGCCUAAAGCACUGGCAGUUGCACCCAGUUGGUUUCUGCAUCUGACUGAAGUCACUCUGAGGGCUGAGCUCCUUCUUCCCUUCCUUCACCAAAGCCCUGAACACUUGGAGGAGGUUUACCAUCCUUACAGAUGCUUUCCUGAGAGCUGCCAUGAUGGGAAAGAACAUCUUCUGAGGGUGUAGGCCUACAGUCCUUGAUGAUUACAUGUUCAGUUUAAAUCACUCCUUAGUGCUGCAAAUUACUGACAACUAAAGCUACAGUCCUGUGUAUUCUUACUUCUUGCUAUUUAUAUCUAAUGAAAAAUCAAGCCAUGUUUCCUUGCAAAUGGACAAAGAAUGCAAAACUGAGCCAGAGUGUGAGACUGCAACAACUCUGCGUUAUAACAGUUUUGGGAACCUGGUCUUAAUCUGUACUUUUCCCCACAGUAAUUCAAAUUAUUUUUCUAAGUGAUUUCAAUGACCUUUUUGUGGCAACAUUCAUGUUGCUAUUGCAAGUCUUAUAUUAAUAUUAAAAGGUGCUCUCAGACCACAUGCCUCCACUGAGACAUACAAAUGCUUGAAGGUGGGAAAUCUGCCAAGAUAUUCUUUCUACACAGUUAGGAAAACGAAUGUGUGGUUAAUCAUUGUUUUAUCCAAAAACAAGCACAGAGAGAUAUAUUUGUAACUUAUGUAUGCACCAUUCCUCAAUAUCAGAAGAAAGUAAGGCCCAAAAGGUCACAGAGUUGUUUGCAAAUAUUACAAAACCAUUUAAAUAUACAAACAGUUUGCCAGGAAUUCUUCAUAAUCAUGGUUGUCUAUGUUUACUCUCGAAAAAGAAAUCAUGACCAAGCUCAAAAAGUUAUAUUUUCAAUGUCAGUUAUAACUGAGAAACUUCACUGACUUCCCUGGGCUUUCAGAACUUUUGGAAGUGUGUAAAAAACCUGUGAAAACAGGGGAUUAAAAAAAACCCUCAUGCCAUUUUUAUAAUAUGUGCUAGAAGGCUCUUUGCAAUAUUUCAGGAUCAAAUUCUGCUUUUUUAAUCCCUUCUGUCUUCCCACAUGUAAGAAGAAAUAUUUUUCAGCACUACAGCUCUUAAUCUGAACAGUUUCUACACUCUAAUUGCUUUAGUUUUUAUGAAUAUCAGUCAGUGCAUGUGAUUUUGUUCAUCUAUGGACACAUUCCAUGUAAGAUCCAUAAGCAAU